GCCAGGCGCGGUGGCUCAAGCCUGUAAUCCCAGCACUUUGGGAGGCCGAGACGGGUGGAUCACGAGGUCAGGAGAUCAAGACAAUCCUGGCUAACACGGUGAAACCCCGUCUACUAAAAAAUACAAAAAACUAGCCGGGNNNNNNNNNNCCCGGCUAGUUUUUUGUAUUUUUUAGUAGACGGGGUUUCACCGUGUUAGCCAGGAUUGUCUUGAUCUCCUGACCUCGUGAUCCACCCGUCUCGGC
rfam:Chlorocebus sabaeus isolate 1994-021 chromosome 16 unlocalized genomic scaffold Scaffold458, whole genome shotgun sequence.